UACGAAGGGGGCUAGCGUUACUCGGAUUGACUGGGCGUAAAGGGCGCGUAGGCGGUUCGUUCAGUCAGACGUGAAAUUCCUGGGCUCAACCUGGGGGCUGCGUUUGAUACGGGCGGGCUUGAGUUCGGAAGAGGGUCGUGGAAUUCCCAGUGUAGAGGUGAAAUUCGUAGAUAUUGGGAAGAACACCGGUGGCGAAGGCGGCGACCUGGUCCGAUACUGACGCUGAGGCGCGAAAGCGUGGGGAGCAAACAGG
rnacentral:rRNA from 1 species